rnacentral:snRNA from 1 species
GCUCUAUCUUCAACGACAUCCGAUAAAAUUGGAACUAUACAGAGAAGAUUUCCAUGAUCCCUAAAAAAAGGAUGACAAGCACACACAUAAAGUGAGUAAUGGUUCA